rnacentral:rRNA from 1 species
AACGAACGCUGGCGGCAGGCCUAACACAUGCAAGUCGAACGGAUCCUUCGGGAUUAGUGGCGGACGGGUGAGUAACGCGUGGGAACAUACCCUUUGGUACGGAAUAGCCUCGGGAAACUGGGAGUAAUACCGUAUGUGGUCGAGAGACGAAAGAUUUAUCGCCAAAGGAUUGGCCCGCGUUGGAUUAGGUAGUUGGUGGGGUAAUGGCCUACCAAGCCGACGAUCCAUAGCUGGUUUGAGAGGAUGAUCAGCCACACUGGGACUGAGACACGGCCCAGACUCCUACGGGAGGCAGCAGUGGGGAAUCUUAGACAAUGGGGGAAACCCUGAUCUAGCCAUGCCGCGUGAUCGAUGAAGGCCUUAGGGUUGUAAAGAUCUUUCAGGUGGGAAGAUAAUGACUGUACCACCAGAAGAAGCCCCGGCUAACUCCGUGCCAGCAGCCGCCGUAAAAC